rnacentral:sRNA from 1 species
AUUAUAUCUUCCCUCUCUCUGUCUCUAGGUGUAUCUGUUAGGAGCUGCCUCUCUAAUCUACAUUUGCAGAAGAGGAGAGAAGAGAGAAAGGCACGAAUAAAUUCUUUCAUGCUAGUGAAAGGUGACCUAAAGGUAAGACCUUAGAAGAAAAUUAUCAUGGGGAUCUCUUUCCUCUCUAGGGACUCCCUAUUCCCAGCCACUAGAAGUCAAGGUUAGGGGUGAAUCCAGAGAAAAGGAGGUAGAAAAAAAGGCUACAUGUAUAUUCAGGGAUCCUAGAAGGUAUGAGAGAACAGCAUUUCCUCAAGCAGGGGAGGCAGAACACCCACUCUUGUCUCAGAUGUGCUGGCACCUGGUGUCCUGGUACCUGGCUUUCAUUCCUAGUUCCUCAGAGUUCCUCCAAGCCGCUUUUCCAGUUGGAUUCUCACCCCAGUCACUACUUUGUUCAGAAACAUGGCUGAAUCUGAGGCUAGUGGAAUGUAUUGACCACAAAUACUAAACGAGGUGAGAUAUGACUUGGCUUUGUAAUGAGGCAGCCAGCCAUUCCACAAAUGGCCAAGUUCAAGAGCUGCCUUGGAGAGGAGCUAGGCCUCAGUUUGCUUGUUACAGAGGGCAAGGGCUAAUGGAGGAGGCCUUCUGCCCCACAAAAGACAAGGAAACAAAGAGAUCCGUUGGAGAGCCAUGUUCACAACCACGCUCUUAAUUAUGAAUUAAUAAUUCAUAAUUAUUUUGGAUUUCCAGAGAGGCACAGGCUGCUGGAAUUAUUUCCCAGGUUGGACAGUCAGAGAUGGUAAGAAGGGGACCUCAGAGCAGCCAUUAUUGCCGAAGUCCAUUAAGUUCACUGCUACACUUCCUUACCAGGACCUGGAAGAGAGUUAUAAGUUUUCUUGGUCCUUCCUCCUAAGGGCUACCCACCCCUGAGCUUCUAAAUGUAACUCCACUCUGCAUUUCUGUACUUCCUAAGGCCAAAGGGCUACCCCUCCUAGAGACUUCAGAGCUCAGUUCUGAGUUUCUGGCAUUCGUAUUUAGUAUUCCUCAUAAGAAAGGCGGAUGUCCCAGAGAGCCUUUCUGUCCUUCUGGCUCAUCUUCUUCUCUUCUCUUCCUAUUAGUAGUAUUAGUAUUAGUAUUAGUAUUAGUAUUAGUAUUAGUAUUAGUAUUAGUAUUUAAAUGCUCAUUGAUGUUUUUCCUACACUAGUGUCUGCAUACAUGAGGUAUCAUAUCGCCUGAAACUGGAGUUACAAACAGGUGUGAGCUGUCAUGUGGGCACUGGGAAUUGAACCUCGGUUCUUUGGAAGAGCAGCCAAGUGCUCUUAAUCACUGAGCCAACUCUCUAGCCAUCUCCUCUCCCUUAUGAUAAGGACUGCCAGUGAUAAACCCUCUUCUUGUAGUGGAAGACCUCACCAACAAAAGGUAGGCCCUUGCGAUAUGGAGACUUUGGCUGGAACCUAGACUCGGGGGGCUGUUUCUGAUCUCCUGCGAAGACAUCUACAGAGUUAGGGGCCAUGGCUAGGUGACAGACUGAUUGCCUAGCAUGAAUGAGGUCCUAGGUUCACCCCAAGUAGUGAGGCAUACCAACAUGAAAUCCUACUCUCUACUUCUAACCUCCCAAAUUCCCACACUAACAGACUUAACACAUAAAUAAAAAUAGGAACCACCUGGUGUGUGGAGAGUCCUACACAUUCUCCAUGAUCUCUUGCCUCCGUAUGCACUUAUAUGCACAUGCAUGUAUAAACACACACACAACACAUACAUACAUACAUACAUACAUACAUACAUAUUAAACAGAUAGAUUUACCGAGAUAGAUAUGUUUAAAACAAUUCUGAAGAGCAUCAAGGAGACACCAGAUUCUUACAGCAGAGGGCCUUCUCUCAGAGAAGGAGGGAGCUCUUGCUCUUCCAAGGAGCAAGACCUAAAGGGUCUUCUCCCCAUCAGGAGAUACUGUAGCUACCAAGGUGCUGCUACCAUCUCUAAAUUGCCAGAAGGAAGAACUGGGUUAUAGGGACUGGCUCCUAGACCAAGAGGAUCUGGAGUUAGAAAGGGUUUCCAAGAUUGGGAAGAUGGUGCUUGCCUAACAUUCAUGAAGACCUGGGUUCAAUCCCUUGUAUCACACUAAACUAGGUGUAAUGGCGGCACACACGGAACGCCAGCACUCAAGAUGUGGAAGCAAGAAGAUUUGAAACUCAAAAUCACCCUUGGCUACAUAAGGCGUUGUAAGCCAGCCUAAGAUAUAAGAAACAGAGGGGAGCAGGGUCCAGUCCCAAACCCCAUCAGUCACAGAAAACAUUAAGUGUGCAGCACGACCCCAAAUUCCCACAUCAGAGAAUUUGAAAUUAUCAUCAUCUUUUGAGUCAGGGUCUUUUGUAGCUCGAUUGGUCUUGAACUCCCAAUGUUCUUGCCUCUUUUCCACCUUCCUAGUGAAGCAUCCUUUCUCCUGCAUCAGUAUUAAAUCUAUGUCUUUGGCUGAGCCCACAGUAGGACAGAGUCAGUUAGAACAAGAGAUGCAGAAACUUCUUUGCCUAUAUCUGUGAGUAGAGUGGACUUGAUGCCUAGUUUCCCAGGUAAGUGACUCACUUGGGCAUCGACCCUCGCUGGGCGUGAGGCAGCCUUGCUGGCUUCCCUCUUAGCUGGCCCGCUUUGGUCUCCAGAGGAAAAUAGUUUAGGGAUGGUAACCCAGCCAAUAAAUAAUUUACUGAGGAAACACGAAAUGGCCCCCUCCUGUGUCUAUACCUUUGGCCUCUAAAUAUGAAAUCUCUAAACUCGUUCCCAGUUCCCCUAGACUCCCUCCAACCCCUUCACAAACAUACAUACAAAUACUGGAUACAAAAAAAUUUUUUUAAAUGUAGGGGUACAAACCUUCCUGACCUAUCACUUUACAGUUUACUCCACCUGCAACCUUUGUCGUCCCCCCACCCACCCAUUUUUUCUCUCCUGAGCUUCAGCUUUUCGCUUCUAAAAAAAAAAAAAAGAAAGAAAGAAAGAAAGAAAGAAAAAACGAAGAAGAAGGAAUUUUCAAUAGUCCCACUUGUCAAGCGAAGACCAUCUUUUAACCUUCAACAGCAGCGAAAGCCGUGUGAACUCUCGGUGAACCAAGAUUGAAGUCAUAAAUCACGCGUACAAAGGCGGCUGCGGAGGCUGGCGCGAGCUCUCGCUGCACCUUUAACGCUUUCUGGGGCUGACAGGCGGCGGCCCAGCUAAAGUUCACAGUGCCUGGGGAGGGCCCGCCUCUCUCCCCUCCCCCAGCCCGGCCCGGCUCGGUCCAGUCUGCCCGGCCCGGCCUGCGCCCCUUGGCCACACUGCACGGGCAGCAGGGAGACUGGCCAGGCCGCAUCUGUGAUUUCUCCGCCCGCUCUGCAAUAUUUAAAUAGGCAAACCGAUCCACAUCGACACAAUAAUUCAGCUUUUUUUUUUUUUUUGUCUUUGUCGUUUUCUACAGGACCCCCUAGAGAUGGACCUUCAAUUCCUCGGUCCUCCCUCUAGAACUGGCAUGCUCCAUCUCUGUCCAUGCAGGCCCAAUUAUCCAGAUCCUUGGGGUUCCAAGAUAGCCUGAGUCAUUGGAACUAGGAACACCUGGCUGAAUCACGCCAUGCAAUUAGAUUUUCUUGUUCCUUCUUACUCCUUAUCCAUUUAUUUUUAAAGAGGGCAGCGAUUAACCGCCCAACUGGGCGGAGUAGUUGAGGAGGAGGAAGGAAAAGCGCCAAGGACUCUGUGCAGACCCUAGAGAGACCUCCAGGCUCCGCUGGGCCGGGACUCCUUUCCCUCCCUCGGCAUCCCAGCCUCCUCCUCCGCGAAUUGUUUUUCCCCCCUUUUCCUCCCACUGUCCUCUCUUCGGUUUAAUUAAAGUUCAGCGACUACACUAGCUUCUCGAAUUUCUUCCAGAAAUCGGAAACCGGACGGCCGGCCGGGCAAUCACGGGCUGAGCAGCCUCCCUCGCCUACUUCUCUGUGCUCGCCAAGGCCCUGCCACUCAGCCGCAGGUGUGCAGGAGGUUGGCCUGGGGACCAGAACCACCGCCCGGCCUGAGCAGGACCUCUAGGUUGGCUGCACAAAGUUUGAAGGCCUCUCCACCUGCCCAGGAGACUGACUGACCACGGGUUUCAGUCCUGCGCUGGGAACCUCCACUGUCUUCCGCCCACUCCUACUUAGCUCCUCAAAGUCCAGCAGACUUCUGACUCUCCGUGUAUCUCGGGGAUACUGUUGCCCCAGUACUUUAGCCCCUUCUCUGUGUGGUGUGGCUCUCCUCAGCAGUGUUUUACAAAGAAGAAAGAACAGCUUGGAGACAUGUUUACAUCUAGUUCUACGGAUCCAUUCACAUCUGGAGAGUUUAUUUAUAACUCCCUCCAUAACUCUCUCUGUUUGGAGGCACCAGUGGCUGUAUUGACAGACGGAUGUCUACAAAAUAUUGCUCUAUCUCUAACCAUACCUAAAUGUGCUGUAGUUGUAUUUACAGAUUUAUGCCUGAGGAGAAUAUAAUUAUUUCCAUUGUA